CAUUAACUAACUUUGUCUUUUUUUCUUUUCUUUUCUUUUCCUUUUCUUUCUGGCAGGUUGGGGUAAGGAGAAAGAUGUCACUCUCUUUCUUUGUCUAAGUAUAAAUUGGAGUGGAGGAAUGACCAGACUGUGUUGAUGGUACUGAUUUCGGAGCCAUCUUGAACCUCAGUAAAAAACCUAUUUCUGUGUUGCCAGAAAGCUCUCCAGCCAUCAACUUGCCUACAUGUGAGAAGGCCUCAUUAUCAGAAACCUCUGUGGAAACUCAGCAUCUACCUUUGGCUGGUCUUGUUUCUUGUACUCCUAGAAUUUUCAGAAUGUUCUCCAAAGGGAUUGUUUUGCUUGCCGAUAAAAAGAGACACUUGGGAGCACCAUACUCUCUCCUAUUCCUCUGAAUAUCAUGUUUCCUUAUGACACCUGAAACUCUGAUGCCUUCUGGGUCCAUGAAAGCAGUGAGAUGAGCACAGGAAACCAUGCUGAGGAUGGUUGAGCAAAAAGGUGACAUUGAGCCACUGGAUUAACCUGCCCAGAAACAGGAUAUCUUCAGAUUUCUUGUUAAGUAAGAAAAUGUAAUUUCAUUGAUUCUAAGUUACACUUUCUUUUAUUAGUUCAACAUCUCUGAAAUCAGAACAUAUUUUGCCAUGGUAAUACCUUACCAUCACUGUUGGCCAGGGGCCAUCCUCACAUAGGUGUCAUUGCCUAUGCAUAUGUCAACUUGAUUGCUAUUCCCUGUGAUAUGACUGACAACUGCAGCCCCUUGACAGUUCAGUCAACAAACCAUUGAAGAGUAUUAGGGUAAGAAUACUGCUUUCUAUCUGAAAACUUUCCAUUGACAUCUUCUGAAAAGACAAAGAAAGUAUCAGCAUCUAAAUUUGCAUAAUAAUCAUCAGUGCUUAGAAGGAAAUCCAAGUGGCAAUAGUGGGUCAAUCUUUUAAGAAAUGUUACAUUACCAGUACUUUCGAUACUACAGAGGAUGAUAUUGGGAGGAAAAAGCAUCAAUAUUUAUGGCUCUGAAUUUUAAAAGUGAGUUUGAAGAUUCAGACUCUGAAAGUGAAGACAUUUUAUUGUGUGUGUGUGUUUGUGCGUGCGUGCAUGUGUGUAUGACUGUG
rnacentral:lncRNA from 1 species